rnacentral:rRNA from 1 species
GACGAACGCUGGCGGCGUGCUUAACACAUGCAAGUCGAACGGAAAGGCCCUUUCUUUGUGUGGUGCUCGAGUGGCGAACGGGUGAUUAACACGUAAGUAACCUGCCCUUGACUUUGGGAUAACUUCAGGAAACCGGGUCUAAUACCUGAUAUGAGCUCCUGCUGCAUGGUGGGGGUUGGAAAGUUUCGGCGGUUGGGGAUGGACCGGAGGCUUCUCAGCUUGUUGGUGGGGUAGUGGCUUACCAAUGCUUUGACGGGUAGCCCGCCGGGCAGGGGAGACGGCCCCAUUGGUCCUGAGAUAGGGGCCAGAGUCGUACAGUAGGCAGCGGGGGGAAACUUUGCCCAAUGAGCGGAAGCCGGAGACAACAACCCAGGGUGCGGGAAGACGGUCUUAGGGGAGUGAACCGGUUGCGACUAUGACGAAGCGUUAGUGACGGUAAUGUGUGAAGAAGCACCGGCUAACUACGUG